GUGAGGGGGUGACUAGUGACAGAGUGAGGGAAGGGGUGACUAGUGGCAGAGUGAGGGAAGGAAGGGGAGACUAGUGACAGAGUGAGGGAGGUGGUGACUGUCACUAGUCACCACCUCCCUCACUCUGUCACUAGUCACCACCUCCCUCUGUCACUACUCCCUCCCUCCUUCUGUCACUAGUCACGCCCUCCCUCACUCUGUCACAUGUCAUCCCCUCCCUCACUCUGUCACCAGUCAUCCCCUUCCCUCAC